ensembl:lncRNA
GUAAUUUUGUGGGCAACGUCUUAAUGCAAAAAAAAAAAAUAAAAAAUCCCAAAGCAACGAAGCAAAGACUAAAAAACCCCACAAUGCGUUUUUAAGCUCUCUCUGUGUUCACUGCCUCUGCAAGUGUCAAACUUCCUCGCUUUAGCUGAUGCUAACCAACAUUAGCGCUUACGGACAGUGAAGUGUCUGACACUGACCAUGUACCAGUGCCUGAGAACACUGGUAUGGAGGGGGAGAACGCACCUCUUUACUGUAUUUGUCAGAAACCAGACAUCAACUGCUUCAUGAUGCUUUGCCAUGAUAAAUUGGUCAGUUGACAACCAGGAGCCGUACACCUUAACCUCAGAGGCCAGGACAUCCAGGGGCAGUGUGAACACGCACUUGUUUAAAUGGGACGCAAGACGGACUAUAGAGGGCCACCCCCUUGCCAGACAACCAAGUGCUGUCCCUGUCCACGGCCAGUGUGAGAAGGACUCUCACUAAAGUCAACCCACACAAAGCUGCUGGACCAGACAAUAUACCUGGACGCGUGCUCAGAGCCCGUGCUGACCAGCUGACUGAUGUCCUAGCAGGCAUCUUUAACAUCUCCCUGAGUCAAGCGGUUGUGCCACAGUGCUUUAAAACCACCACCAUCAUACCUGUCCCCAGACCUUCCCAAAGCCUAAUUACACAAUGAUUGCCUGAGCCUAUUCUUGUUAAAUGAUGAAAAACUCAAAGGCACGUUUGGGCAGUGGAUCUGUGUGAAAUCAGCAGCUUGCAAAACUAAAUCAAAAUGUGUGCUAUUGAUUCUAAAAAUAGAAAUCACAAUAAAGUUCAACAUUUACUAAAACCGCCAUUCAGUCAUCUGAGAAUCUUUCCUCAUGAAAUUAUAACGGUUAGAUGAAUGUAUAUGCAGUGAUUUACUGAUCAAUGAUAAAAGGGGAGAUUUAUGCAAUAACGAAGACUGUCAUGAAAAGUAUUUGGCAUCUGAUCUCCUGUAACCUGCGGAGCUAAGCUGUUUUACCAGCUCUGCUCUCUGAUUUUUCUUUUAUGAAAAAACACAAGUUGUCAAAGUUAUUUGUUUGCAAAUGUAUUUCAGAAAUAUCGACAUACUUUUUUUAAUCAGCAGAAACUUUAUGUCAGUAGUGCAAAAACCUGCACUGAUCUGACCUCAUUUCUUCCUCAUCCUGAUUCCUGACCUGGGAAGGGAGAGAAAUAUUUGUUUUUGUUUGUCUUCUUGUUUUAUUUAAUUCCUUGUGGGAUUUGGAUCCAACACGUAAAGUAUGCAUAUUAUGCACACACACAAACACACAUGCAGCUAUUACCCAUUUCUUGUAUUCUUGAAUAAAGACAUUGAUUUGACACAUUUAA